AUUGAACGCUGGCGGCAGGCUUAACACAUGCAAGUCGAGCGGAGUGAUGGUGCUUGCACUAUCACUUAGCGGCGGACGGGUGAGUAAUGCUUAGGAAUCUGCCUAUUAGUGGGGGACAACAUCUCGAAAGGGAUGCUAAUACCGCAUACGUCCUACGGGAGAAAGCAGGGGAUCACUUGUGACCUUGCGCUAAUAGAUGAGCCUAAGUCGGAUUAGCUAGUUGGUGGGGUAAAGGCCUACCAAGGCGACGAUCUGUAGCGGGUCUGAGAGGAUGAUCCGCCACACUGGGACUGAGACACGGCCCAGACUCCUACGGGAGGCAGCAGUGGGGAAUAUUGGACAAUGGGGGAACCCUGAUCCAGCCAUGCCGCGUGUGUGAAGAAGGCCUUAUGGUUGUAAAGCACUUUAAGCGAGGAGGAGGCUUACCUAGUUAAUACCUGGGAUAAGUGGACGUUACUCGCAGAAUAAGCACCGGCUAACUCUGUGCCAGCCGCCGCCGUAACAC
rnacentral:rRNA from 1 species